CACUCUCAGCUCACAGUUCCAGGUCUGCCUCAAGGCCAUCUUCACACAUCUCCAGGGAGGUCACUUCUCAACUCGAGAGCCCAAGUCCUCUCUGCCCUCUACCUGGGCUCUCUUUAUCAGUUCUGCUCUCUGAUCACUCUCCUGAGCAACUUCCCAGAACUAAUCCCUCCUGCCUUUACAUCCAGGGAUGAGGAGAUCAUGCUCAGUGCGUGAAUCCAACAGUCAAAUUCUAUCUUAGUCGAGUGCAUUUAUGUAACAAGAAUGAUAGACACACAGUAAUGGCGAAUUGGGAGUGGAGGAAUGGGAGAAAAGGUUUGAAGGUGAUUGAAGAAGCCCACCCACAAAGAGCAAUGUAAUUAAUACUAUUAGGUGACAAUGACGUGGGGAGAGAGCUAAUUAGACUACCAAAAAUCCUUCUGUCCUUGCAGUGACCUACAUCCAAAGUGAAAAGUUAUUCAGCCUCUGAAGAGAAGCAUUUUGUUUGGGGAUCUUCAAGUAUGCUUGUCAGGUACGUGCCCAUCACUGGUAACAUCUUCAGAAUAUACUUGUCGUCUCCCUGACAUCAGUAAAUCACCGAGAACUGGAAAAAAAUCUCUGAUUGUCCUGCAGCAAUGGCAUUAAAGGCUCCUCAUAACAUACAGAACCAGAAUUGUGCCAUAAUUUACUGAAAUUGAACAUUGCUCUGUGACUGCUAAUUUUCCAUCGAGAUGAUUCUGUCUCUAACCAAGAAAAGAAAAGGUUUGUCUUCCUGACUGCUGACACUGCUGACCAAGCCCACCACCAGAUGCCUGGCUGCACACCCAGAGGGCAGCCGCUUCCCGUGGUCCUCUCGAAGAACUUCCCUUUUGCAAUGCAUGUUUAGCAAGUGGAUGAGUUUGUCUUUUCUGAUUUCUCUGCAAGCUCUGCAUUGCCCACCUGAACCAGUGCUUCAGAAGAACUAAUGGGAUCUCUGACCCUCCAACAUCCUCUUCCAGACUUUCACUUUCCUGGCUCCUUGCAGGGACAUGUAAUAAACGUGCUCUCCAGA
rnacentral:lncRNA from 10 species